CCUACGGGAGGCAGCAGUGAGGAAUAUUGGUCAAUGGACGAGCGUCUGAACCAGCCAAGUAGCGUGAAGGAUGACUGCCCUAUGGGUUGUAAACUUCUUUUAUAUGGGAAUAAAAUGUUCCACGUGUGGGAUUUUGUAUGUACCAUAUGAAUAAGGAUCGGCUAAUUCCGUGCCAGCAGCCGCGGUAAUACGGAGGAUCCGAGCGUUAUACGGAUUUAUUGGGUUUAAAGGGAGCGUAGGUGGAUUGUUAAGUCAGUUGUGAAAGUUUGCGGCUCAAACGUAAAAUUGCAGUUGAAACUGGCAGUCUUGAGUACAGUAGAGGUGGGCGGAAUUCGGGGUGUAGCGGUGAAAUGCUUAGAUAUCACGAAGAACUCCGAUUGCGAAGGCAGUUCACUGGACUGCAACUGACACUGAGGCUCGAAAGUGUGGGUAUCAAACAGGAUUAGAUACCCCAGUAGUC
rnacentral:rRNA from 1 species